UACAGAGGCCUCAAGCGUUGUUCGGAAUUACUGGGCGUAAAGCGCAUGUAGGUGGGCAUGCAAGUCAGAUGUGAAAGCCCUGGGCUUAACCCGGGUAGUGCGUCUGAUACUGCAUAUCUGGAGUGCGAGAGAGGAGACUGGAAUUCCUAGUGUAGGGGUGAAAUCCGUAGAUAUUAGGAGGAAUACCGAUGGUGAAGACAGGUCUCUGGCUCGUAACUGACUCUGAGAUGCGAAAGCGUGGGUAGCAAGCAGG
rnacentral:rRNA from 1 species